rnacentral:misc_RNA from 1 species
UCCGGUUUGACACCGGCAGUCCCCCCAGAGUCCCGUUGCUGGCAACUGAGGGUAAGGGUUUCGCUCGUUAUGGGACUUAACCCGACAUCUCACGACACGAGCUGACGACAGCCAUGCAGCACCUGUGCUCGCCUCCGGACUGGAUACCGUUGGCCCCACGUUUCCGCGAGCUACUUGCGAGCGCUUUCGCACAUGUCAAGCCUAGGAUAAGGUUCUUCGCGUAGCCUCGAAUUAAGCCACAUGCUCCACCGCUUGUGUGAGCCCCCGUCAAUUCCUUUGAGUUUCAGCCUUGCGGCCAUACUCCCCAGGCGGGGGACUUAGCACUUUAGCUCCGGCAGUCAGCCCAUGCCGGCCGACUACCUAGUCCCCAUCGUUUAGGGCCAGGACUA